rnacentral:tRNA from 1 species
UCCCUGGUGGCUCAGACAGUAAAGCAUCUGCCUGCGAUGCAGGAGACCCAGGUUCGAUCCCUGGGUCGGGAA